AACUCUGGGCGGUGGAUUCACUCGGCUCGUGAGUCGAUGAAGAGCGCAGCCAGCUGCGUGAAUUAAUGUGAAUUUGCAGGACACAUUGAGCAUCGAUACCUUGACCGCACAUUGCGGCCUCGGGUCAGUCCCCGGGGCCACGCCCCUGACUGAGGGUCG
rnacentral:rRNA from 1 species